AGGGAUGACAUCAAAAGAUCGAUGUAGGAUAAAAAACUUAAAUCGAAUAGUUUGGGGUGGGGGGUCAACAUUGCUGCAAGUUUUGUUAAUCUAAAAUCGAUUUUACAUAUAUCCAUAUAGAUAAAUCAAUUUUUUCCAAAUUAAGUUAAGAAGGGGGGUAGGGGGGUCAGCGAAAAAACUAUGUGAAUUAAGUUUUUUAUCUUACAUUGAACUUUUGAUGUCGUCCCUA
rnacentral:lncRNA from 1 species